AUACGGAGGGUCCGAGCGUUAAUCGGAAUUACUGGGCGUAAAGCGCGCGUAGGCGGUUGGAUAAGUCGGAUGUGAAAGCCCCGGGCUCAACCUGGGAAUUGCAUUCGAAACUGUCCGGCUAGAGUAUGGUAGAGGGAAGCGGAAUUCCACAUGUAGCGGUGAAAUGCGUAGAUAUGUGGAGGAACACCAGUGGCGAAGGCGGCUUCCUGGACCAAUACUGACGCUGAGGUGCGAAAGCGUGGGGAGCAAACAGGAUUAGAAACCCUAGUAGUCC
rnacentral:rRNA from 1 species